CGACGACUCAGUCUCCUCAGUCCUCCGGCCUCCCGCUUCCCCCAGCCGCACUCCCGGCCAAUCCCGCACUCCCGGCCAGUCCUCCGGCCUCCCGCUUCCCCCAGCCGCACUCCCGGCCAAUCCCGCACUCCCGGCCAAUCCCUAGGCGGCGCGACCAGGCUGCCGGCGGCCGGCGCCUCGGCGAGCAGGUGGCGACGCGCGAGCUGCGACAGCCUGCGGCCCCGCACUCCCGCAACUGCAGGGCACAGGCUCUCCGUGGCAGGCGGCCGACUGUGGCCGAGCAGCUGCCGCACGCUAGGCGCCCCGGCCCCCGCCGCCCCGCUGUCCGCGCAGGGGCUCCACGACGGCAAGCGCGGCUCCGCCAGCGCAACGGCAGCCGCCGAGGCGCGGUUCCGGCCACAUCGGACAGAAUUUUUUUCAUCCUUCAAAGAUUUUGAAUACCCAUACCUCAAAUCCUCUCCCCGUCGCUCCGCUCACUCCGCUGCUGCGUCUCCUCCCAAUCCCCGACCCUGCCUGCCGCGGCUCCUCCCAUCAAGCUGCUCGUCUCCUCCUACCCUCGAUCCCUCCGACCUUCUCAGUCACAGCAUAACCCCUCCGCCGCGGCCGGACGAAGGCGUUCGCGUGGGAGUUGAGGGAGUGCCGGCGGCGUCGCAUCCGGCGAAUCGGCUAGGGCAGCCCGCGACCGUUCAGGUGGCUGCGGCUGCAGGGCUCAAGAGCAGGCAGCGACCAGCCACACGAGCUGGACCUGGGACGAGCAUCAAACAGGGAAUGGAAAGGGGUUCUGCUGCGGAGUGCAGUGAGGUAAAGGCUGUGUUAGGCAGCAAUGAGGAGAAAAAGGCCCAGAAAAGCAAGAAAGACAAGGGCCAGAGAAAGAGGAAGAAAGACAAGGCCAAGGGUCACGGAGGUGAUGGUGAUAGAUUAAUUCAAUCUGACGACAAGAAUCAUAGUGUUGACAUGGAGCAUGCUGAAGUGUCAGCCAAGAUGACUGAAAGACCGUGCUUGGAGAAUACAGAGGUCAUCAUGAGCAAAAGGGAUGUGAAGAAAGACAGGAAAAAAAAUAAAAAAAAUAAAGAGGUUGAUACUAUCAGCCAGAAGCAGACACUUGAUGCUAAUGAUGGAACUGUUGGGUCAGAGUAUUUAGAAAUGAACGAAGGAGAAGGAGCACAUGAUAGCAAGUCAAAGAAGGGCAAAAGAAAGCACCGGGAUGGCGAGACUUCCUCAAAUGGUUCUUCUCAUGAUCAAAUUGUUUCAGGGGGUGAUAAGAAGAGGAAAAGGAAGGAACCUUCAAUUCCUUUGGUAGAGGGCAAUGAAGUUGACACAUCAAAGAUCUGGCAAAACACAAAGGGCAUGAAAAAGAGGAGCAAGGAGAGAGAUAAUAUUGGUGUGGACCUAAGUCUGAAUACACCAGCUGGAGAUGGCAAGAAUUACAACAAAGAGAAAAAUACAAGUAAGGAUGACAAUGAUGGUGGCAAAAGCAGAAAAGUUAACAUGGCACAUCGAAAGGACAAGGGUAGACGAGUGAGCUUCACUGAUGAUGUGGAGGUGUUUAAUAUAGAUGGUGGUGAUGAUCAUCAAGAGGGUGAUGGGAGUGGUGAUUCUGGACUGGUGCAUGGCAAACGGUUUACCCCUGAGGAAGAUGCGAAACUAAUGGAAGCCAUCGAGAAAUAUGCAGAGAUGAAGCAAUUGGGAGACAAAGGGUUAGAGAUGAUUGGUGCUAGCAUGAAACAUCCAGAGAUCAGGGGUUGCUGGGCUGAAAUAGCAACAUCAUUACCUCAUAGACCACAGAUGGCCGUAUACAAACGAGCGCGAAUUUUACUUUAUAGAAGUGCUGAACGUAAAUGGACUCAAGAGGAGUACGAGAUAGUUAAACGGUUUGUUGAAAGGAAUGGCACAAGUUGGAAGGAACUGGCAACAGACCUUGGAAAAAGUGAAAUCCAUGUAAAAGAUACAUGGAGACGAAUGAAACCAAAAAAUUUAAAAAAAGGGGCUUGGACUCAGGAUGAAUACCAAAACUUGUUUGAUCUGGUAAAUUUGGACUUGCGUGUGAAAGCUCACCAAAAGAUCGCUCCUAGUCAUCGCCAGCUAAGAGAUAACAUUUCCUGGGAGGCCAUCAGUGAAAAAUUAACCACCCGUAGUAACAAGGACUGCUGCUUGAAGUGGAGAGCUGCGUAUCUUUGUAUUAAUAGAGAGAGAAAAAUCGGCCCCUUACAAGCAGCACACCUCACUCCGAGCCGAGCUGUACCAGCAAUUAGCAUCACCACUGGUUAAAGAAGGAAUCUGGGCAGAUACUGAUGAUUAUCUGUUGAUGGAAGCGCUUCAAAAGGUUGAUGCUGUUUGUGUUGAAGAUGUUGACUGGGAGAGACUUCUUGAUCACAGAUCUGGGGAGCUUUGCCGUCAACGGUGGAACCAGAUGGUCCACAUGAUCGGUGGCCACAGAGAGAAGCCUUUUAUCGAGCAAGUGGAAGUGCUUGCAAGGCGGUACUGCCCAGAAAUGCUUGAUUACAGGAAAGCUGAAUCGUCCGACAAACUUACUGGAGGAACUGACUAGUGACGAAGAGCAUAACCCUCUUACUUUUUAAAAAAGCAAGCAUAACCCUCUUACAUCUGCCCUGUAAAUGUUUGGUUUUGUUUUGUAUGGCAUGUGGAAAUAUUGGCAAUAUAUGGUUCAAGCACCUGCGAAGAAUGCAAACAUGUCGCAUUUUGAGGAACAAAAUAUAUUGUUUAGGGAUUGAAAGAA